AUGACACCAAUUAAAUGUGCAUUUUCAAUUGCAUUGGCUUUUCCUUCACAUAAAACUUUCAUCCAACCUGUGACCACUGUUGGGUUCAAAAAUGUAGGUUCGUAAAAGAGGAACUGAGUCUACACAGAAGGGGGAUUUUUAACAACUUCUGCAGAAGGAGAGAGUUAUAUUCAGCUCACUACUCUCUGACGGCUUCCUCUGCAGAAGCCUUUUUAUUAGCAGAUCAUAACACAUGGGGUGGGUUACAAAAUAGAGUGUUCUUUUGACAAGGCAAUUGAUCAGGUCAUAGGACAAAAUGCUCCUCUGAUUGACUCACAGAACAGAGUGGUCUUCUGAUAACUGUGAUUAGCCUUGCAGAAACAUCAGUAAUUUUCCACCACCGUUGCAUGACAGUUUGCAGUAAACAGAGUGAAGCAUCUAAUUUCUCCAAUGUUUCAUAUGUACACACAUUAACUUUAUAAUCAUCAUUGAAUAAACCUAACAAGCACCAACUCCUCAUUGGAAAGGCUGAUAUCGUUAGGAUUCCAGUUUGUGGGGGUUAUUUUUUUCUUUUUCAGUUCCUCCGUGCAUCCACCAGAUGGUGCCAUUGUUCUCUGCUGGUCUGGAGUGCUUCAUGUUCUUCUCGCCUCUCACACCUGCAGCCUAUUUGGUCAUCACUUCCUGUGGAGUAUUUAAGCAGCAGACUCUCUUAACUUCCUCGCCAGAGUAUUUGCCAGUAUUGGGAUAUCUAUGGAUCCACUGGAUAAGCCAGGUCCUUCUAGUCUUGGAAGGGACUCUCUUGUCAUGCUGAGAAAAGGAGACAGAUCUCCUUAUGCGAAUGCCGUUCACCUCAGGAACAUAGUGACGGUCUGCUCUGCAGAUCCUCAGGACCACCAUAGUCUGCCUGUCCGCCCUCCAGCGGAAAACACCUUCUACAGAGCAAGCCUCCACAAACAGGAACUCUGGAACCUCCCCAAACCACAACAAGCUUCCGCUUCUGGUUCAACAGAUCACUGGGACCUCCCCAAGCUGAAGAACAGUUUUCUGUGUCUUUGUACUACUUUUUCUUCCAAUAAACUGUUUAACUUUUUUCAAAUCUCUGUGAGUGCUCCUGCAUGUGGGCAAGACACAUUAGACCCAUUAUGACAGAUACAUCCUCUUUACUAGCUAGUGAAAAAACAAUUAUCAUCCUUUAUUAACCUUAUCAUGU